AUAUUUGCAGGGAGUAAACAAUGGAAAUGAACUCCCAGCACUCUCUUUAUAAGCACUACUGAAGGGUUUGAAAAGCAGCUCUGCAGUACUGUUAUAUAGAGACGAGCCAUGUGUGGGCAAAUCACUGUGUUUUUAGGACUUAAAUUAUUGAGGCUGUCGCAAGUGACGCUGAACCAGUUAGUCUGUUCAGUAAAACAUUGGAUCCUUUGCAUGGAGGGUCUCAGUAAGCUACAGUGCACGGUUCAUCAACUGAUUCAGAUUCAGUUAUGUUAAGUCUGCCAACUGAUGAUGUAGGGCAAGGCAACAACUGAGUGCCCGGAAAUAUGAAUAACAGAAUGAAGUCAGACCAUGGAAAUCCACACCUGUGAUGGAGAAACUUUGGAUCAAGGGAUUUGUUGUGGAACCAACUGGAGCUGAACCUGGCACAGAAGUUGAAUCCUGCUGGGAACGGGCAGAUAUCCUGGACAUGGACUAGGCGAUUUCAAAUAUGGAAUGUACUUUGAUAUAAAAAAUAAAGGGUUAGAGGUUUUUUGAAGGAAGGAUAAAGAAAGAGUAUUGUAUUGUCAGUAGACGGCUCCCUUGCUCCAUGAAAUAGGUCAGUCCACUUGUUGUUUUGACAGGAAAUUAAUUAAGUAUUUAGUAAUCUGGGAAUGUCUAAGAAAAUAUAUAAUAAACGAUUUACUGUUUGUAUAUCUAAUCUUCAGAAAGCAUGAUGCUUGAUAAAAAUGCACAAUUCCGGCUUAAAAAGUGGACGUUAAUCACACCUAUAAAUUUAUGUUUCCAAAGACAAGAUAAGAAAGGGAUUCUUUGCAACAUAUAAAUCAACAUUAAAACUUAGCAGCCAAGGUCUUACGAAAAAAAUCUGUUUCGGCUGGAUUUUGUAUGAACAAAGGACAGGGUCAAGCCUAGUUCUGUCAUUAUAAAAUAUAUACAAGUUGAAUGCAUUUAUACUGGCCUGUAUUUCCAGUCAAAUCUUAGAGGGAAUCACCAAAGAAAUAAAGUGAUAUUAUAAAUUCUAGGAGCGACUGUUAAACUGAAGUAAAUUAAUUAAAAGUUUAUCUUAUAAUGCCACAUUUAUAGUUAAAAAAGGUUCAGUGCUAAUUGACACUGUUUAUAGUUUAUAAUGGUCAAAAAUUAGAAAUUAGACAGAAAGGUAUUGCAAAUUAAUAAAAUAAAUGAUUAACCUUGUCUAGACAGAAUGAUAUUUGAAACUAAAAAUACCUAUUUGAUUUCAUAGGAUUGAUAAUCUGUUUUAAGUAUUUGGUAUAAUGAGAAAGCAUAUUAUCUAAACUGACGAGUGUUAUUGCUUGUUCAUGACUUUACUGUAGUGAUAAAAGGAUUAAAAGCUGGAGCAGUAUUCAAUUUAAUUAAUUGGGGGAAUUGGUUCAGUUUCUUUCUCCUUCUAUUAAUCAAAAAGGCCUUUAGACAUCAUAAUAUCCAUUAAAUUAUAGAAUAUAAAAGGUAUUAUGCUAUGUUUUUGUGUUAGUUUGUAAUAAUAUACUAUAAUGUACCUUGUUGUUAAUCCACUAUACUAUUGUCUAAUGAUGGUAGAUGGAGUCAUUAUAAUGUGGUUCUUUAAAACUGCUGCCUAGCAUUGAGAAAAAGGGGCCUCUCUCCUUAUCAAAAUGUACAGCUGUAGAGAAAGGAGGGGUCUUCUUACAUUCCACUCUAGCAAAGCUGCAAGUCUUAUAGAUUUGGAAUUUAAGGUUUAUGGAAUUAGUGGUUUAGCACAGAUAAGAAUAUAUCUUGAAAUAAUAUGCAAAAAUUAUGGCUUAACAGACAUUGAUAGGUCAUAUAUCUAAAAAAGUGUUUGCACAGACUUUGGCCUUGAAAAAACAAGAGACUGUGGAAAUUGCUUGCAAUAGCAUAUUCUCAGUCAGGUACAGGUCAGAGCCUGGUUAGUGCAUCUUUUAAGGGAUAAAUAAUUGUAAUGAAAAUUAUUACCACUUAAACUUAGUAAAACUAAUUGACUUGAAUAUUGUAUGAGGCAAUCUUUUGUCAAAUACUCUGUUAGACAAUAGUAUAUGGAAUCAAAGCUGACUCAUUAAAACAUGAUGAAACACAAUAUGAAGUUAAAAGAAACACAUACCUUUAAUUUAGCAAAAUAUAAUCAAUUAGAAGAUGAUGUCACAUAUUAAGAACAUCUCUCAUAUAUAACACAUAUAAAAAUAGUGUUUUGCAUGCACAUAUAACAUAAGUGUUUUUUUAUAUUAUAUUAUAAACCAGGACCCUGGGAACCUUGGUUCACUUGACUUUUCAGAUAAAGGAGGGGCUCGGAGGAAAGCAAGGAAUGAGAUCAUAGGUUGGAGUUGAACAAAUAUGAAGUCUUGAAUUUAUUGGUACAUGACUCUAAUUAGUUCUGAAAAGUUGGUCCGGAUCUUUUGAAAACUAUUAUUUGUAAAAGGGAUAAGAGCUGACUCAACAGAUUAAUGAUUGGAUUUAAUUGAGGCGUCCCAUGUAUUCCAAUGAGAUGAAAAACCUAUAAAACUCCUAAGUAAUUACAAUGGAGUACCACACUCACACCUGACGGUAAUGUGGUCCAUUAUCUGCAGACCUACACAAUUGAGCUGAUUGAACUCAGUUUCAUUUGCCUGGUGAAGACAGUCAUAUUCUUUUACGAUUUAUAUUAAAGGGUAAGCAUUAAUCAAUUAUUAUUUUAUCUCAAAUGUAUCGCAUGCAUUGCUAUAAAGGAUUCACACUAUGUUUUAGAAUUAAGAGAGUAUGCUGUUGAAUAUGCUGAAAUAUACCAUUGGGUGCUUUGGGUGAUGUGUUCUUGGCCUGCCCGCAGGCCUUGCAAAUACAUAUAAAUGUAUUGAAGUGUUAACGUUGAUAUCUGUUAAGACACUGGACUGCCCAGAGCGUCUAUCAGCUGGGGAGUAAUAACAUCUCUGUCCUCCUAACGUCUCCCCUGAGAUAAGAGUGUAUGCUGAGCAAAUAGAAAGAGUACAUAUGAAAUCUGAACCCUCAGAAUUCGUGACAAGGCAUAUUACAAUGAAACUCUUAUAAGCAGGACAUUUGAUCAGUGAAAAAAGGCAUCUGGAAGUAAUAUUAUAAAACAAAUGAUUUAAUUGUGAAAAGCUUCACAUUUCUUCCUACUUUAAUAAAUGAAAGGGCCAACCAUUGAGCUCAGUUAGGUGGCUGCCAUGUA